CGUGUUUUCUUUUUUCGUAAAAAAAAAAAAAAAAAUAUUAAAAGAAAAAUCAAAUAGAAAAAUGCACAAGCUAACACCAACAUUUCACCAAAAAAAGCAAUAUUACAGUCUUUGGUGUAAGCGCACUCUUGCAAAAACAUAUUCCAGUUUGAGGGGAGGAGGGGAAAUAAAUAAAUUGAACCUGUACAAAAUCACAGCAUAUUCACAUACACUUUGUAUAAACAAUGACAAGGCUAGCACAAUCGAUCACAGCAUACACAGAUUUCUAUACACCCUGGGGAAAGUUUCUAUGUCUGGGUCUCUGAGCGUGAAUUAGCAGUAUUUAGUAGGAUUGUAUAAUGUGGACACUGGUAUAAUAUUAUAGUCUGUCUGUUUGAGAUAUAUGG